CUAGACGAGUUUGAUCAUGGCUCAGAUUGAACGCUGGCGGAAUGCUUUACACAUGCAAGUCGAGCGGCAGCGCGGGGGCAACCCUGGCGGCGAGCGGCGAACGGGUGAGUAACAUAUCGGAACGUACCCAGUCGUGGGGGAUAACUAUCCGAAAGGAUAGCUAAUACCGCAUACGUCCUGAGGGAGAAAGCGGGGGAUCGCAAGACCUCGCGCGAUUGGAGCGGCCGAUAUCGGAUUAGCUAGUUGGUGGGGUAAAGGCUCACCAAGGCGACGAUCCGUAGCGGGUCUGAGAGGACGACCCGCCACACUGGAACUGAGACACGGUCCAGACUCCUACGGGAGGCAGCAGUGGGGAAUUUUGGACAAUGGGGGCAACCCUGAUCCAGCCAUUCCGCGUGAGUGAAGAAGGCCUUCGGGUUGUAAAGCUCUUUCAGCAGGAACGAAACGGUGGUCCCUAAUACGGACUACUAAUGACGGUACCUGAAGAAGAAGCACCGGCUAACUACGUG
rnacentral:rRNA from 1 species